AUUGAACGCUGGCGGCAGGCUUAACACAUGCAAGUCGAGCGAGCGGCGGACGGGUGAGUAAUGUCUGGGAAACUGCCUGAUGGAGGGGGAUAACUACUUGAAACGGUAGCUAAUACCGCAUACCAUCAGAUGUGCCCAGAUGGGAUUAGCUAGUAGGUGUGGUAAUGGCUCACCUAGGCUACGAUCCCUAGCUGGUCUCAGAGGCUGACCGGCAACACUGGAACGGAGAAACGGGCCAGACUCCUACGGGAGGCAGCAGUGGGGAAUAUUGCACAAUGGGAGCAAGCCUGAUGCAGCCAUGCCGCGUGUGUGAAGAAGGCCUUCGGGUGGUAAAGUACUUUCAGCGAGGAGGCGUGACUCGCAGAAGAAGCACCGGCUAACUCCGGGCCAGCAGCGGCGGUAAUUC
rnacentral:rRNA from 1 species